GAAACGCUAGCGGCAGGCUUAACACAUGCAAGUCAGGGGCAGCAUGAANGUAGCAAUACAUUUGGAUGGCGACCGGCGCACGGGUGCGUAACGCGUAUGCAACCUACCUAUAACAGGGGGAUAAUCCGAAGAAAUUUGGUCUAAUACCCCAUAAUAUCUGAGAAGGCAUCUUUUCAGGUUGAAAGCUCCGACGGUUAUAGAUGGGCAUGCGUUGUAUUAGGUAGUUGGUGAGGUAACGGCUCACCAAGCCGACGAUACAUAGGGGGACUGAGAGGUUAACCCCCCCACACUGGUACUGAGACACGGACCAGACUCCUACGGGAGGCAGCAGUGAGGAAUAUUGGUCAAUGGUCGAGAGACUGAACCAGCCAUGCCGCGUGAAGGUCACGGCCCUAUGGGUCUUAAACUUCUUUUGUAAGGGAGCAAUAAGGUUCACGUGUGGACUGAUGAGAGUACCUUACGAAUAAGCAUCGGCUAACUCCGUG
rnacentral:rRNA from 1 species